UAAUACAUAAGUAACCUGCCCUAGACAGGGGGAUAACUAUUGGAAACGAUAGCUAAGACCGCAUAGGUACGGACACUGCAUGGUGACCGUAUUAAAAGUGCCUCAAAGCACUGGUAGAGGAUGGACUUAUGGCGCAUUAGCUGGUUGGCGGGGUAACGGCCCACCAAGGCGACGAUGCGUAGCCGACCUGAGAGGGUGACCGGCCACGCUGGGACUGAGACACGGCCCAG
rnacentral:rRNA from 1 species